AACGGCCGUACCAUGCUGUAUAUACCGGUUCUCGUUAGAUCACCGAAGUCAAGCAUCAUUGGGCGCGGUCAGUAUUUGGGUGGGUGACCACCUGGGAACACCGCAUGCCGUU
rnacentral:rRNA from 1 species